rnacentral:rRNA from 1 species
UACGGAGGGUGCGAGCGUUGUCCGGAAUCACUGGGCGUAAAGGGCGCGUAGGCGGCAGGCCAAGCGUGCGGUGAAAGUCCGGGGCUCAACCCCGGAUCUGCCGUGCGGACUGGUUUGCUAGAGCACUGUAGAGGCGAGUGGAAUUCCGGGUGUAGCGGUGGAAUGCGUAGAGAUCCGGAAGAACACCGGUGGCGAAGGCGGCCUGCUGGGCUAUGGCUGACACUGAGGCGCGACAGCGUGGGGAGCAAACAGG